ensembl:lncRNA
CUUGGGACAGAACAAGUGCAGGGAUUGAGGAACAAAACCAGCUGAAUCUCCCCUGCCUCCUGCCACAGCUCUGACUUCUGGGAUUCAAAGGAUUUAAUGUGGCACAGUUCCAUGAAGGACUGGUUUAUGGAUCUAGUUCUGGGUUUUAACCCCAGUCAGGCCUGGUUUUCUUGGGCUGCAGAAGGAGAACAAGCUCUGCUUGGCUCCUCAGACUGGAUGAACUGACCCCAAAUCCCCUGCAGAUCCUGUCUGACAUUUGGAAUAACACUGGAUGGAUGUUUAAUGGACAACUCAUUAAACUCAUUGCCAUGUGGAUUUAAAAAGACAAGGAAACUGCUUCUUUCCCUAAUUUUUCAUCUUUCCUGCUGCUGUAAAUAGAUUUAACAAUGAGACCAUCAGGAGUCUUUGCAAAUUUAAGUACUUACUGAAGCUUUUGGUCCCUGUGCUUCUGCCAGCUCUUCCAUUUCAGCCAGGACUUUAUGGCAGAUUUUACUUAUUCCCACUUGUUUGCAUGUCAGACCAGUUCCAGGAGGGAUGUGAUGGGAAGGAUUUUGUGAUUUUAGAUGAAAUUCUUGCUAGAAGGAGCUCCAGCACCAAGGAACACUGUUCAUCCUGGGACAAUGAGUGUCCAGGCAGAGAAAAUCCUCCCCUGGCCUGGGCUGCAUGGAACCACAGCAUCAGCCAUGGGAAGAUGCAGAUGAAAGAAGAGGAAAACCCAUGUUUCACUCACUCCAGAAGCAUCAGGAGACCCGGAAUCAUCAUCCAGACUCCAGCUUUAGAGCAGCUUCCCAAUGUUCCUAUCAGCACUUCAGUUUGUGUUCAUCAACACGAUGCCAUACAUCCACCUUUCCCACCAGGAUCUGCUCUCUUAGCCAGGAAAAUCAUCCUCACACACCAGCAUUCCCUGCAGGUGUUUGCAAAAUGAAGAGCUGAGUGCCAGAGGUGAGGAUCCAGUGGCUCAAACAAAGUGAGAUUUGGGCCAAAGAACCCUCCUGAUCCUGCUGCUGUGGCUCCUUCCUGCAUGCCAGGACCAUCACCACCUCUCCCCAUGUUUGAUGGGCACAGGGACUCAGGGUGGGUGUGCACUCCAGACAUCUUAUUUGACAUUUCAGUCACAAAUCCCUCGUGGCAUAAAAUGAGCACCUGAAGGGCUGCUGGGAUUCCUGGAGGAUUCACAGGAUGGGGAGGUUAAAGAUUUGUCAGGCAGCUCAUGGCCAGCUCCAAAACAGCAAAGGUCACAAAGCAGCAUCAGCCUCAGCUCAUUGUAUCAACACUCCUGUUUUUAGGCACUUUAUCAGGUGCAGCUUGCAGGAUUCCACACUCACCUGCUGUGCUGCUCCCAUCACAAACCACCAAAGGUUUGAAUUGCUUCAGUCCGUGUUACAAUCACAGAAUCAUUUGGGUUGGAAAAGAUCCUCAAGUCCAGCCAUUAAUGUAGCACUAACCCAUGAACCAAGUGCCACAUCCAUGUCCUUUGAAUCUCUCCAGGGAUGGUGACUCCACCACUGCCCCAGGCAGCUGUGCCAGUGCCUGACCACCUUUCCAGUGAAGAAUUUUUCCCAAUAUCCGAUCUAAACCUGUCUUGGCAUAACUUGAGGCUGUUUCCUCUCAUCCUGUCCCUGUUCCCUGGGAGCAGAGCCUGACCCCCACCUGGCUGGCCCCUCCUGUCAGGGAAUUGUGCAGAGCCUGAAGGUUCCCCCUGAGCCUCCUUUGCUCCCCAGCUCCCUCAGCUGCUCCUGGUGAGGAGCUCUGUUCUCUGUGAACACAAUCCAGCCCCUCAAUGUCUUUCUUGUUGGGAGGGGACCAGGACUGCCCCAGGACUGGAGGUGCCCCAGCAAUGCCCAUGGGGACAGUCACUGCCCUGGUCCUGCUGGCCACAGUGUUCCUGACAGGAUUUAUCACCAGCUGUAGCAUGGAGAAGGUGG